UUUGUUUAUAUAUUGAUAAUGACAGUAUAUAUAUCGUGUCUUGACUAAUUGCGUGCCAGCAGUCGCGGUAAUACGUAAGAGACUAGUGUUAUUCAUCUUAAUUAGGUUUAAAGGGUACCCAGACGGUCAAUAUAGCUUAUAAAAUGUUAGUACUUGACUAGAGUUUUAUGUAAGAGGGCAGUACUUGAGGAGGAGAGAUGAAAUUUCGUGAUACCAAAGGGACUCUGUAAAGGCGAAGGCAGCCCUCUAUGUAAAAACUGACGUUGAAGGACGAAGGCACAGAGAACAAACAGGAUUAGAUACCCAAGUAGUCUUUGCAGUAAAUGAUGAAUGCCAUAGGUUAGAUUGAUCAAUUAUGGUCUAGGGUUAGUCUAGCAAACUAAUGCCCUGUGCUAUAAUUCAAAAUAUCUGGUCUAUAAAUGAAAGUGUAAGCAUUUCACCUCAAGAGUAAUGUGGCAACGCAGGAACUGAAAUCACUAGACCGUUUCUGACACCAG
rnacentral:rRNA from 1 species